CUAGUAAUGGCAGGUCAGCAUACUGCCGUGAAUACGUUCCCGGGCCUUGUACACACCGCCCGUCACACCAUGAGAGUUGGGAAUACCCGAAGCCUGUGAGCUAACAUUUAUGAGGCAGCAGUCGAAGGUAGAAUCAAUGAUUGGGGUGAAGUCGUAACAAGGUACC
rnacentral:rRNA from 1 species